GCCCCAUUCAAAUGCCUAAUCCGAUCUGCUUUUUCUGUUUGCGUGCCCAAGUUCUGUAUUUCUAGUAACACCCAUGGAGCAGGGAGCGUCGGAUGGGGAGAUGGCAAUCAGCUCCGACGAAGGCCCCGGCGGAGCGACGCCAGAAUACGAGCGGCAAAGGCGCGUCAGGAUACAGGAGAACCGUGCCAAGCUGGAUGCUCUCGGUCUCCCCGGUCUCUCUGCCUCGCUCCACGGGCAUUCUCCUCUCCCUUCCAAGCACCGGGAACGGAGGGAGAGGACGAAGAAGAAAUCGGCACAAAGAACGGGAUCCCUGGAAGACAACGACGAGGAUUAUCAACCCUCAGACAGCGAUCGAGGCCGAGAAGCAGAAGGCACUGGAGAGAGUUCCUCCGAUGAUGACGAAUGCGAGGAGAAAGAGAAGAAGAAACGUUUACGGAGAAAGGAAAAGCAAAAGGGUUCUUCCAAACUAUCAAAACUGACAAAUAAAACAAAAACAAGAGGGCUGGAUGAAUUGCUUGAUGAUGAUUUUACCUUAAAGCAGGCAAUUGAUCUCUCAAUUGGUGAACGAUUGGUGGAUUCAAGUGAAACUCUCAGUGGAUUCCCUCAAAACUCUGAAACUAUUGUAGCUAGUUCUAGUCUUCAUAAGAAAGACAGCAUUACCAAUUACAGACCUUCUGGAAGGCAAAAGAACAAGAUUGUGAAGAAAAGUCGAAUACAGCUAACUGAAGAUGAAAUGGUUGCUUACUUCUUUACCUUAGAUGAAGUUGGUAAAGGCUACCUCACUCUACGUGACCUACAUAGAUUGGCCUUAGCUCAUGAUUUUAGUUGGACAGAGGAUGAGCUUUUCAGUAUGAUCCAGUGCUUUGACAGUGACGGAGAUGGAAAGCUAAGUUUGGAAGAUUUUCGAACCAUUGUAUGCCGAUGCAAUAUCUUGCAAGAUGAAGGAAGACCUUGAAUUUGCUGGCCAAUGCAAUAGGAAGGUAUAUUAGAUUUUUGUUUGCCUUGCUCAAGGACAGUAAACUGUUGCUCCAAGAAUAAGAAAUUAACCAAGUGGAUUAUCUAGCAAUCGAUCUUCAUGAAGGGCUGCUUUGGAAGUUCACUUAAUUUUUCUUCUGAGCAACAGAGUAAUCAGGUGAUUCUGCAAGCGUGGAAUUCAUCUUGUUUUACUCUGGCUUUUACACAUCCGAUUUGCAUUGGUCUUACGAAGGUUUUUCACCGACUACCAAGCUAAGUAAAUCGAGAAACGCUUAUAGAGGUUGAGCUCGAAACACAUUGUAAAGAGUUUUGCGGGUAUACUUUCAUGUAGCGGCUUGAAGUGGGUUGAUCAUAAGAGUUUGAUCUUCAAUUGGGAGAUGAAGUAUGAGUUCGAUAAUAACUAUCAAAAUGUAUGGUUUGCUAAUGCCCUAGAGGUUUGAUUAAUGUAGACCUUAUAUGCAUAUUAAUUCAAUUGUUUUGUAUGGACAAGUUUGGGAACCCAUUUUAAAUAAUUUUUUAAUAUAAAAA